rnacentral:rRNA from 1 species
AUGGCGUACUCCAAGCCUGUCAUCAUCCUCGCCGCCCUCCUCCUCACCGCCAUUGUCAUUGCUACGGAUGCACAGUCGACACUACAGAUAGAUUGCCCGUCAGCGUGCAACGCUCGUUGCUCGAAGAACUGGAGGAACAAGAUAUGUAACAAGGACUGCAAUAUUUGUUGCGAAAAGUGUAACUGCGUCCCUUCCGGCACCGGCCAGGAGACCCGUAAUGAAUGCCCCUGCUACGCCAACUUGGUUGACUCAAAGACCGGCAAACUCAAGAGAAGAAGUCGAGGAGCCCCCGGUUCUGAGAAGGAGCAGGGGAGGAGAACACUAAAUGUAGGAGCGUCGGAGUACAUGCCAGGUGGGGCGACAAAAGCAUGGUUGUGUAGGAACUUGACAGAUCGUGUACCACGCCAUGUCUUGUGCUGCUGCGGAUGUCACUUUGUUCAUCCAUUUGUAAGGCAUAAUCCAUUUCAAAGUCAAGUGCGCAACAAGCACAGACUGCUAAAUCGACCAAUUAAUCAUGCAUCCAGCAAGAACUACAACAAUGAAGUUCAGGAAACUCGGGAGGUGAAAGUAAAAAACAGAUGGACACAGAACUCGAGAAAGACCCAUGAGGAAGGGGUGAAUCGGAAAACCGAGACCUCGGAAAAGGAAGGGAAUAAAGCAUAUGUGCUCUGCUCCAUGCGGAGUGGGAAAGUUAUCAUUAAGAACCCCAUCAUCCAUGGCUACCAGGCCAGGACAGGUCUAUGUGAACUUUGGAUUGGGCAAUCUCCCUCGAGGGGUCAUUGGGGCGAUUCAACGAGCUGGGGCCGUUUGUCAUUGUUAUGGAGCUCUGAAAGCGAGGGGUUGAGGGACAAGUUAUAUAUAUGCAAGGAUUGGACCCCUUUAGACGGGACAUUUGAGUCUUUGGUGUUUAACCCGCCUGUUUCCAGGCGUCGUGUCUUACAUGGGGCUUCAAUGUUGAGCCCCAACUCAAGGUCCAUGGUGGAAGAAAAAUUUCCAAAAAUGAUGCGAGGAGAAGCAGUCGAGGAGCCCCCGGCCCUGAGAAGGAGCAGGGGAUCGGAGGAGAGCACUAAAUGUAGGAGCGUCGGAGUUUGGGCCAGGUGGGGCGACAAAAAGCAUGAUUGUGGGCCUGAGACCGUCAAGGCCUCCUCCUCUGCUAUCUGUGUCUCCGUGUUCUCACUGCUGCCGAUGGCGCCUUGCCACUACCUCUCAGAUCCAUCCUCCCUAUGGACUGGGCCGAAGCCUAUUGCGAACCCUCUGCAACUGCCGUCUCCACCAAACAAAUCUGCUGGUCGAAUCUUCCCGCACGGGGUUGAUUCUGCUCGAUCCCCGCAGGCAGCGCCGCCACAGGACAAUGGAGGGGCUCCAAAGAGACGCCACUAUCAAGCAGGCUCCUUAAGCAUUAAGAUAACGAAAAGCAACUUUCUUGAUCCACGGAUCGGGAAGAGGACCGACGUCCUGAGCCAUGGCUCGACUAGCUGCCAUCGACCACCACGUGUCCUCCGUCUUCGUCUUGGCCCACAGCUCAGAUUAGAGGAGGGAAAUUUCCUUCUGCACAACGCGUAUAAAAAGCCUUCCAUCGCUCCACCAGUACCACCAACCCAAAUUUGUAAGAGAUCUGAAGGCGACAUCCUCUACGCGCAAAGGCAGGCGUGGGAGGACCCCAGCAACGUGCUCCAAAGCUGGGAUCCAACCCUUCCCGAUCCCUGCACCUGGUUUCAUGUCUUUUGCUCGAGCGACGGUUCCGUUGUCCGUGUGGAUUUGGGCAAGGCGGGUAUCUCAGGCCCCCUGAUUCCGGAGCUGGGAGGUCUUCAGCAUCUUCAGUAUCUUGUGCUGUAUGCAAAUAACAUCACCGGACCGAUACCAGCGACCUUCGGCAACCUAACAAGCCUGAUCACUCUUCAUCUCUAUGACAACCUUCUCAUUGGAGCCAUACCGGCCUCACUCGGGGCCGUCCGGGCGCUGCGUUAUCUGUAUGAGUUCUGGUCACAUUACAAGCGGCUGAACGGGAAUAUGCUGACUGGCACAGUUCCGCCCAAGAUUCUCUCUCUUGUUCUUGUGGGGAACUUGGCUGAACUACAGUUGAACCGAGACACCAUAUUUCUUAUUCAUUAUCUUGCAGAAAUGUUGCCAAAAACAGUCUGGAAGGCACUGUCAGAUCAUCUCGACGGUGGAGAGCUUGGCAUCCAUGCAGUGGCCUUCGUCAUCCAGGAUACACUGAAGACUGCGAGCUAA